rnacentral:rRNA from 1 species
AGUGAACGCUGGCGGUAGGCCUAACACAUGCAAGUCGAACGGCAGCACAGUAAGAGCUUGCUCUUACGGGUGGCGAGUGGCGGACGGGUGAGGAAUACAUCGGAAUCUACUUUUUCGUGGGGGAUAACGUAGGGAAACUUACGCUAAUACCGCAUACGACCUACGGGUGAAAGCAGGGGAUCUUCGGACCUUGCGCGAUUGAAUGAGCCGAUGUCGGAUUAGCUAGUUGGCGGGGUAAAGGCCCACCAAGGCGACGAUCCGCAGCUGGUCUGAGAGGAUGAUCAGCCACACUGGAACUGAGACACGGUCCAGACUCCUACGGGAGGCAGCAGUGGGGAAUAUUGGACAAUGGGCGCAAGCCUGAUCCAGCCAUACCGCGUGGGUGAGGAAGGCCUUCGGGUUGUAAAGCCCUUUUGUUGGGAAAGAAAAGCAGCAGGUUAAUACCCCGCUGUUCUGACGGUACCCAAAGAAUAAGCACCGGCUAACUUCGUG